UCGGGGGUUGUGGUGCCGAAUUGU
rnacentral:miRNA from 1 species